rnacentral:rRNA from 1 species
AUUGAACGCUGGCGGCAGGCCUAACACAUGCAAGUCGAACGAGUGGCGGACGGGUGAGUAAUGUCUGGGAAACUUCCUGAUGGAGGGGGAUAACUACUGGAAACGGUAGCUAAUACCGCAUACCCUCGGAAGUGCCCAGAUGGGAUUCGCUAGUGUUUGGGGUAAAGGCUCACCUAGGCGACGAUCCCUAGCUGGUCUGAGAGGAUGACCAGCCACACUGGAUCUGAGACACGGUCCAUACUCCUACGGGAGGCAGCAGUGGGGAAUAUUGCACAAUGGGAGCAAGCCUGAUGCCGCCAUGCCGCGUGUAUGAAGAAGGCCUUCGGGUUGUAAAGUACUUUCAGCUGGGAGGCGUUACCCGCAGAAGAAGCACCGGCUAACUCCGUGCCAGCAGCCGCGGUAAUAC